CCUACGGGAGGCAGCAGUGGGGGAUAUUGCACAAUGGGGGAAACCCUGAUGCAGCGACGCCGCGUGGGUGAAGAAGCGCCUCGGCGCGUAAAGCCCUGUCAGCAGGGAAGAAAAUGACGGUACCUGAAGAAGAAGCCCCGGCUAACGACGUGCCAGCAGCCGCGGUAAUACGUAGGGGGCAAGCGUUAUCCGGAUAUACUGGGUGUAAAGGGGGCGCAGACGGCGAUGCAAGCCAGGGAUGAAAGCCCGGGGCCCAACCCCGGGACUGCUCUUGGAACUGCGUGGCUAGAGUGCAAGAGGGGCAGGCGGAAUUCCUGGUGUAGCGGUGAAAUGCGUAGAUAUCAGGAGGAACACCGGUGGCGAAGGCGGCCUGCUGGGCUGAAACUGACGUUGAGGCCCGAAAGCGUGGGGAGCAAACAGGAUUAGAUACCCCUGUAGUC
rnacentral:rRNA from 1 species